ACUUUUAUUAAUUUGUCACCUUUGCGAAACCAGAAUUUUUUUUGUCCUUUCUUCUUCCCUCGACUCACAUUCAAGGUUUCCGGGAAAGGCGAACUCAAUGGCGAACUCAUUAACGAACUCACCACCACCGGCAAAUUGCACCAUCAGCGGAGAACUACGCUACCAUCGGUGACUUCCGUACCACCCGCAACCUCACCAUCAUCGCUAGCUAACGUCAAAUUUAGGGUUUUUUUUCCUAAGCACACUCUUUAAAUUCUUCUUCUCUUCAAUUUUUGUUUCGAAUUUCUGAAUUUCUUGUGGGUUUAUUUGAUUUUCGAUUUCAAUUUGUAAUUUCUUCUACAAGUUAGGGUUUUUUCCCCUAAUCUUUCAACUUCAAUUUCUAAGAAGUUAGUUUUCCCACCAUGAAUUUCUGAAAUUUCAAUUUGCAAUUUUGGGUUAGGUUUUCCGGUUUCAUGGGGAAAGUAUGAUUUCUUCCUUGUCAUGUUUGCAGACUUGUUCUAUACAGGAACACUUUUUCCCCCAAGAAUGUUGUAAAUGGUAAUCCUUAAAUGUUAGGAUUAAAGGUUAGAAUGGAAGUAGAUCAACAAUAUGUUUCUGGGGAAUAUGAUGUUUGUUGUAUAGACUACAUAAUCUUUGUUUUCCUCUUCUCCUUUCCCACCCUCCCCAAAAGAUUAGAAAAUAUAGUGGAAUGGAAAAGAGUAUAGACUGUGGAUAGACUGAAUAAGUUCUCAUGUUUUCUCCAAAUUACAUUAUUCAUUGUAUUUUCCCUCUGAAAAACAAUAAUAUGGCGCAGGCAUGUGUCACAUGUCGAGUUGGUUACUAAUUCUUCUCUUUUAGAUAAAUUGUUUUUUCUGAAGCUUAUAACACUAUAACCUAUUCUAAGGUUUUCUGGGUUUUCAUUCUAUAAGUAACAACUAGGUUGUGCCCGUGCCAAUGCACGGAUUAUAUAUUAUCAUAACUUGGGAAGGUUUGGGUUCUUUUGAUUUCAUAUUGAUGGAAUUUGUCAUUUUGGAUGCUAAGUAUGAUUAUACAAGUACGAGUUUGUGUUUGUUACACUUUUGUUCUUUAAGUAUGUGGAUAUAGAAGUUGGUCGGAUAUCCGGAAAGACCGGAACUUUGGGCUGAAUGACACUCGAAAACUGAAGAUACUUUUAGUUGAUAAUGUUGUAGUUUUAUGUGUUUUAGCCUCUAGGCCUCUUAGUCUCUUAUAGUAGGAGAAAUUUUUGGUAGAUCAUAGACUUAGUAAUGCUUAUGCAGGCGAAAAAUGUUGAUGCAACCACGGAGAAUAACAAGAAAUUACGGACAAAAGCAAGGUAGCAUAUUUGUACAAGUAGUAAGGAACGCUUGCUCACACCAAGACAAAUCUAUUAAGAGCUGCUUAUAUUCAUCAAGAACAUCCACAAAAUGGACUCGGUUAUUUCUAGGUUGAAUUCUUAACUUAUUCUAAGGUUUGCUGGGUUUUAUGUCUAUAAGUAACAAUCCAGCAUUGAAAGAUUGUACCUUAGUAGACUGAAUUUACUGGGUUAUAUUAGGACAAUUUUGUUCGGGGCCAUAUCAUACCGGGCUAUCUGGUUAGGCACAGUUGAAUACAUGUCAGUUUUAGUACAUCAGUUGAUGAUAUUUAAUAUUUGGGUUGGGUUUAAUCAGGUACAUAUAAUACCAUCAUAGUUUAGUGCUGAUUCUGUUGAACUUAGCUACAUGGCCUUCAAAGGAAGCUUCCUUUGCAGUUGUUAUUUCAGGAUAUGAGUUUAUGUAGUACAUUUUCUAAGUUAUAUUUGCAGUGAAAAUGAACAUUGUGUUCCUUGAACAAUGUUUUAUUCAUCUGAUUAGUUUAUGGUAAAUGCACAGAGCUCAAUGUUUUAUUCCUAACAAUGAGUUUUUGUCUGCUUGACCUACCAAAAAAUAUCUGACAUCACAUGUUUGUCCGACUUCCCUCUAUGUAAUUUGAAUAGUAUAUGGUUUUGUCUCCAAUUUUCUAGUUUUGUGCAUUGCCUAAUUGUUGUAUGACCUCUAACUUGCGCGUUUAUGUAAUUUUGUGGUGAUAAUCAGUUACUCCUUAGUACUCACUACUGAGGUCAAGAUCAGUGUUGCAAAUGCUAAGGUCAAGCCCUAGGUAACUAGUCUGGCUCCUGGAUCUGGAGUAGUUAAAAAUUUAUCCCGCUACAGAGUGUACAUCAUAUAUUGAAAACUCGGGUGAUCUUGAUGAAUCUAUGUCUACAGCUCCUGGGUGCUCGUGCCCGUGUUGGUCUCACUGUAUAUUAGUCGUGACAGGUACGUGCUGAUCACUACCAGGAUACCGAGGGAAAAUGUGCUCCUUUCUACCAUCAAAUGUAUGAGAAGGUGUUCGAACUCGCAUUGGUCAAUGGAGUAGUCGUGAGUUCUGAGUCUUGUGACACCGAAGCACAAGAUAGUAUUAACAACUUUUUUCGUUUUAAGACACAUGCUUGUGCAUGCAUUGUGAAUAGUUGUUAUUGUCAAUUUGUUUAAUAUUGUCACAAUUAUGUAGACUUUUGACCCUUA